GUCAUAUCAAUCAAUAGCUAUUUUAAUCUAUGUUUCCUGGAACUGCUAUGACGCAACAGUCAGACUUUACCGUGUACGGUCAACUUCAAAACUACGGGCUGUCGUAUCUCUGUGGAGUCCAGUGGAGAAAUGAAAGGACCACCUGAUGACAAAAUUCUACGGAUAUUUUGGGCAACUGGGUGCCCUGUGUUUCCGCGUCCAAGAAGGGGUGUAGCUGUGUGUGUCGUAGGAAGUGAACAGGGAGAAGUAUUCCAGUCAAGCAGGAGAAGGAGGGGAAGUUGUCGACAUGCAGAAGACAAACUGAUGCAAAAA